CGUGAAAUUGUUGAAAGGGAAACGUUUGACACCAGCUAUGCAGGCGGAAAAUCAGUCAACUGCAGUGAGGGGUUGUGUGGGCCUGGACCGCAAGGCCGGCCUUUAUCUCAUCUUUGCUGUGGGUGAUGCACUUUUUCGUCCGCAGGUCAACAUCAGUUUCGCCCGCUGGACAAAACUCCGAGGGAAGGUAGCAGCUUAGGCUGUGUUAUAGUUAUGGAGCGUUACAGAGGGGGGGACUGAGGAUUCGCAG
rnacentral:rRNA from 1 species